rnacentral:rRNA from 1 species
CCUACGGGUGGCAGCAGUGAGGAAUAUUGGUCAAUGGACGAGAGUCUGAACCAGCCAAGUAGCGUGAAGGAUGACUGCCCUAUGGGUUGUAAACUUCUUUUAUAAAGGAAUAAAACGAGGCACGUGUGCCUUUUUGCAUGUACUUUAUGAAUAAGGAUCGGCUAACUCCGUGCCAGCAGCCGCGGUAAUACGGAGGAUCCGAGCGUUAUCCGGAUUUAUUGGGUUUAAAGGGAGCGUAGAUGGGUUGUUAAGUCAGUUGUGAAAGUUUGCGGCGCAACCGUAAAAUUGCAAUUGAUACUGGCAGUCGUGAGUACAGUUGAGGUAAGCGGAAUUCGUGGUGUAGCGGUGAAAUGCUUAGAUAUCACGAAGAACCCCGAUUGCGAAGGCAGCUUACUAAACUGUGACUGACAUUGAUGCUCGAAAGUGUGGGUAUCAAACAGGAUUAGAUACCCUGGUAGUC